rnacentral:lncRNA from 1 species
GUUUAUGUUUAAGGAGGUCCCUCUAGCUGCUGCGUGGAGAGGGAAUUAUUGGAAGCAAGAGUGGAUCCAGUCCGGCAAGCAAGGAUGGUGUGGCCAUGAGCGGUGGCCAAGGGAAUGGAGAUAAGUGGACGAAUUUGGGCGAUGUUGGGACAUGGAACGCAGAGCACCUGAUGACGGGUUCGACGUGGGACAUGGAGGAAAGGGAAGAAUCAAGGACACUUCAGGUCUCUGGACUGAACAGCUGGAGGAAUAGUGAUGCCAUAUGCUGAGAUGGGGGAUUCCUGAAGUGUGCUGGGGAUGAAAACCGUAUGCACUUUUGGCUGAGUCUGAGAUCCAAGAGUUGAUGUCAAGUAGGUGGUGUGAAGCUCAGAGGCCUGAUCUCUGCUUUAAUUUUUAGCUGCACGUAGGGGAUGUAGAUUAGGGCUGAUUUUCGUCCAGUGAUGCCGGACUCUUCUCUGGAUCUGGCCUCUGGCUCAGCGGUCGUGCUUUGGAGGGCAGUGUCUGCAUGGGAGGUGAGGGCACAGUCAGCACGCCCCUCAACUUCCGUUCAGGGCUCACGACACUCGGAAUGUCCAGGACCAGACUCAACAGCGCCACCGUGUGUCGGGAGAAGUCAUAACAGCAGUGGGCUCCCAGGCUCGCGCACCCCGCGUGGUAAGAGAGCUCAGACCACAGCCAGCGCCCUUAGAAUCCAGUUCCCACCCCUCGCUCUUUCGGACUAAAUAAAUCACUGAAGAUUCUGGACAACUUAGAGAUAGGAGAGCAAGGAAGAGCCUCAAAAGAAAAAAGUGAGCAGAUGUGAGAGGCCGCGUGAUCUUAUGCAAUCUACAAGGAAGCUGAGGUUCAGGAAGGGAAAAGAUGUGUCCCAGGUCACGGUGGAGUUAGGAUGAAAACCCGGGUGAGCCUACCAGUGAAUCGCCAACUGUGUCAGAUCCAACACGCCAUUUAACGACAAAUAUUUUACAAGGCCCUCUUGACAUCCCCAGCAUCUAGAUUGUGCCUGAUGCAUAGUAUGCACUUGGUGAGUAUUUGUAAAAGAAUGAAAUGAAAUUCGUAGCUAAUAUCCUAC